GUCCAAGCCAUCCAUUCUAGCCUCUUGAUUAACUAGGAGCUGUGGUAUGUCAGCAGGUUCCAUUAUGGCCCUGUUGUAAUGUCACGAUUCGGGGAACCCAACACGCUGGCACACACACACAUACACAAAAGGUGCCGUACCGGACCUUAGAGUGGCCGGGCUAAGCACACACAGAAUAGUCAGGAGACAAGCCGAGUAAGGGAAAC